rnacentral:lncRNA from 1 species
UUCAAUGCAGGCUCAGUAACCUCAUUUCAGUUCCUUCUUUGUCAACUAUUUCAUCAAUGCAGGCUCAAUAACCGUCCAGACCUAAACCCGUUAUCAAAAUACUCAGGAUAUUAGCUACCGAUGAGCAUUCACAAGCGACAUAUCUAAAACAUUUAAUAAAUCUCAUGAGGUGAACACUUACUUGGAAAUACUUUGGAAGAGUGUUGUAUUUACAAGACCUCUUGAAAUGCCAGUAGGAUCAUUACAUGCCGUAGAUGUAGAACAUAUGCCGGGCAUAUUGUGCUUAAGCCACCAAAGACUUAGUCUCGGGAAUAAGUAGGUGGUCGCGUCCAACAUUGUGAUUGAUCAUUAAAAUAGUAUUCCAACUAAAAAUAUUCAAUUCUUAGUAGUAACACAGUUCUACCAGAUUGCAAUAAUACCGGAUAAGCCUCCAAAUAGGUGCAUGUUGACAAGAAAAUAUGACUGGUAUACUAAGUAUUUACUAUGUUGCAAAUAACUUAGAAUCACAAGGAAUAGUAACCGAAACAACAUCAGCCAACACCCAGCCUUCUAUAGUUCUUCAACACUUUUUUGAAUGGAUGCUUCUAAGGACACAUUUUUAAUGGAUGCUUCUGAUGGUAUUGUAUAUGCAAUCAGUGACAACAUGAGUAAAUAAUGCUUAAGAUGAUGGUG